UACGGAGGGUGCGAGCGUUGUCCGGAAUCCCUGGGCGUAAAGGGCGCGUAGGUGGCGCGGGCAGUCAACGGUGAAAGUUCGGGGCUCAACCCUGAAUCGGCCGUCGAUACUCCCGUGCUUGAGCACUGUAGAGGCAGAUGGAAUUCCGGGUGUAGCGGUGGAAUGCGUAGAGAUCCGGAAGAACACCGGUGGCGAAGGCGGUCUGCUGGGCAGUAGCUGACACUGAGGCGCGACAGCGUGGGGAGCAAACAGG
rnacentral:rRNA from 1 species